GCUCCCCAGCCAGCGGCUCGCCGACCUACGAAGAAAGCAGGCCGCGGGGGACGUGGACGCCCGGCCCUGCCUGGACAGGAAGUGGGCCCGGGUUUCCCACUCGUCGGCGCCCCACUCCUUCCUCCGCGGGAAGCGAAGGGCCCGGAGGCCGCGGGCCGGCAGAGGGAUAGGCCGGGACGCCAGAUAUUCCCGGGGUUGGGUGCUGUGCUUCUGGGGGGGCUGAGAACAGCACAGGUUCGAUGUAGAAAGGGAAGCUGCAGGCCGGCCUCUGCGCAGGCCACAGCGCCUUGCGACCGCUCAGCAUGACGUACUGGUUAAAACGAUCAAUGGAUGAAUAGGCCAUUCUGAUAAUUAUUGAGAAAUUACGACGGGCUAGGCAAGGUCCAGAAUGCUGGGAAUAGGCAGUAAACAAACAACACCUUGCCCUCGGAAAGCUUACGUUCCAAUGGAAUAAGGGGAUGUAUGGGUGCAGUUUUAUUAACUUUUGAGACCUUGUGCUACCAUUAAUUAGUUUUAACAAGUGUUACUCAAUGUCUACAUUCAAUAUUAAUUGAUCUGAAGAAGUAGAAGAGCAAAAACACAAAAGGAACUUUCCCACUGAAAGUUUUUUAAGUUUUUUAAAUACCCCCUAUUUAAGUACAGGGUCGCUAUGAGUCGGAAUCGACUUGACGGCACUGGGUUUUUUUUAGUUUUAUUUAAGUAAAAAUUAAAAAAAAAUAGUUGCUAUUAAGUUGACUCAGAUUCAUGGCGACCCCAUGUAUGUCAGAGUAGAACUAUGCUUGCUUCAUAGGGUGAUUUUUCAGAAGUAGAUUACCAGGCCUUUCUUCUGGAGGUGGCUCUGGGUGGACUUGAACCUCCAACCUUUGGGUUAGGAGCCCCAGUAUGUUAACUGUUUGCACCACCCAGAGACUCCAAAAAUAUCCCUUAGUCUUUUUUUAAAAAAUUAAUUGAUAUUGGCAAAUAUUGGAUUCAAUGCUACCAGUAAUGAAGGAGUCAACCCUUUUGAAAUGUACAAAAAUGUGAAAUGAGCAGAGAACUAUUUAGUUCCUAUUCCUUUUUUUAUUAAAAAAAAAAAAAAAAGUUUUUUUUUUUUUUAAAUUACGUCCAGUUUUAUCACUGGUAAGUAAAUACAGUUUCUUUAAAAUGGCACAGUGAAUGAAAACGUGAUUGAGACUAGAGUUCCUAGAGAAAUUUUACUUCCUAAAUUUCUUGACUUUUCAGUAUUUAGUAUACAGUCUCUGAUCUUUAAUUCCCUUAUGUGACUCUUGAGGAAAUGGGAAAGUAAUGCCUAUAUUGGACUAAACUUCAUUUAACUUUUUUUCAAGUUGGACUUUAGUCUUGUGAAGAAUAGGAUCAAGAACUCCCUAGAACAUCAUGAUUUUCCAUCUGUAAAAACGUGUUCAGCUUUUCAUCCUGCAUCUACAUCCAUCAGGUUGAACCAUAUAAAACUGAUUUCUUUGAGUCAAAACUUUGAGACACUAGCAUUUCAAAUUGUUCAGCUUAAUAGUUCGUUUCACGUGAGUGUUCCCGUUGUCCACUUUUAGAGGAUAUUGUGAUGGGAAUUAUCUGCAGUAGGUGGGAUGCUGACCUUGUCAACCUCUUAACAUUGAGAGUUUAGGCUGAACAUCCUGGGAGGUAGUUAGAUAUAAUAACUUCCACAUUUAUGGAUGAGAAGCCUGAAAUAAAGAGGUUGGCUCAGUGCGCAUACUGCUGACAGCCGGCCCUGGGCCUUUUCAAGUACAAUUAAAUAAUUACUAUUCUUAGACACAUGAUUUGCGCUUUCAUCACCCUGAAACCCCAUGGAGGAAGCACUGUACUGCAUCAGCCGUUAUACCAAAAAAACUCGUUGCUGUCAAAUCAAUUCCAACUUACAGUGACCCUAUAGGACAGAGUAGAACCACACCAGAGGGUUUCCAAGGCUGUAAUCUUUUUGGAAAAGACUGCCACAUUUUUCUCAUGCGGAGCGGCUGGUGUGUUCAAACCGCCAACCUUUUGUUUAGCAGCAAAGCACUUACCCAUUGAGUCAACAGGCUUCUUCUUGGCCAUUAUAACCAGAAGUAUGGAAGCCAGCAGCCAUGUUUUGUGGAUACUCAAGCAGCCUUAUGCAAAGGUCCAAGUGGCAAGGAACUGCACUAACUCGCCAGGCUUGUGACUCAACCACCUUGAAAAGCAGAUCCUCCAGCCCCAGUAUAGCCCAGCUGACCUCUUGACUUCAGUCUUAUAAGAGACGCUAAGCCCGAACCACCCAGACUUACCCCUCGUGGUUACAAAGUGGCUGCAACUGCUCCAGGCAUUCCUUCUGUCAUACGAGACCCAAAAUGCAGACAAGAAAGGGAGGGGCAUUUUGAAGAUGAAGGAAACUUUCUCAGAAACCCCGGACUUCCACUUGUGCAUUAUUGGCCAGAAUUGUAUUACAAGCUUGUUCUUACACCACUAUUGGCACAGUUUCUGCAAUCUGGGUGGAGUACUGAGGUGAAGAAAGAAAUGAAGAGAGAAGAGGAAAGAUGUGCAAGGACUUCUGCCUACUCAUUAUAGAGCAUGAAAAUGGAACAUGUUUCUAUCAGUCUCAUCGGAAAUCCUGGCAGAUGCUGUCAGAAAGUGCACGGUGCUUCUGAGAUGUGAUUUUUCAAUAGCUUGUACUGUAUUUUUUGAUUGGGAUUGGGGAAAAGAGGGAAAGGGAGUUGAUUGUGAUUUUAUUUUGUAAUUUGAACUUCUUUUCUCCAAGGGGGACUUGCCUUUGACCAGUUUGAUCUCCUUUGAAUAGCUGUCAGGAUGAUCAAUGGUCUGGGGUUGACCAGUAGUCUUAGGGUCCUACUAAAGCCCUGUGCCAAGGGCCCAUCCUUGCAAAUAACCCCCUAUGCACUGGGUUGGGCCAAGUCUUCAGCGCACCCUUUGUGGCUCUCACCACACCUGCCUCCACCACUUUUCAUAGUUUCCAUUCCCCUCGUCUUAGUUUGUUAGCGCUGCUGUAACAGAAAUGCCACAAGUGGGUAGCUUUAACUAACAAACUUAUUUUCUCAUAGUUAAGGAGACUGUAAGUCUGAAAUCAUGAUGCUGGCUCUAGGGGAAGGCGUUCACUCUCCCUGUCGGCUCCGGGGAAGGCCCUUGUCUCUUUUCAGCUUUGUUUCCUCAGUUCCUUGGUCAUCUUCAUGUGGCAUGGUAUUUCUGCUUCUCCAUCUGUAGUCACUUGCUUCUGUGUCUACACUGCUUCUUUUAUAUCUCAGAAGUGUUUGGCUUAAAACACAUCCUAUGCUGAUCUGGCCUCGUUAACAUAACAAAGACAACCCUAUUUCCAGAUGGGAUUAUAUCCACACGUAUAGGGAUUAGGAUUUACAGCACAUGUUUUUGGGGGGACAAAAUUCAAUCCGUUAACACUCUUCUAUUCCACUUCUGCCCCAACCUCAGUGUCCCUGUCUUGCAUUAAGAUGUCUGAAAUGUGGCUCAAGCAAAGAGCAUUUUGUUCCCAGCUGAACAAGGUGCAGGGAGACCAGCAGUGCCAGAGCUGGCAGUGGGUACCAUUUGUCUCUGAACUGAAGUCAUGCAGUGUGUGAGCUCCCCACGGCAAACACCAACUUUCCCUGGGAAGACAGCCAAGGCCUGGAGCCCCAUGUAGGAAAUCCCCUGUGAGAGGCCUUUCCUGAGCCCCACAGAAAAUGAUUCUUUUCAUAGGCUCCGAGUCCCCUUCCUUUCUAGCCCGCAUCACAUCCCCCUUCCUGGCCUUCUACAUUCCGUUCACAUGCCAAGUACCCCGACCCAGGCACCACGUGACUCAUACCCCCCUUCUCCUUCCCCUCAACACUCAACUGGCUGCCCCUCGCCCUCUAAGAGCUCUUCCUUUCCCAAGCUGGGCUGUCCUCUCGCCCUCCAUCCUGCUCUCUCUGCCUCUCCCGUGAAACUGCUCCAUGGCUCGACUAACAUCUCCAGAGGCUCCUCUCGGGUUGAACAGAAGUGAUUUGUUGACUUUGCCAGAUUAGCAAGGGGAGCAAAUUCCACAGAUGCCUCUGUGCCUAAGUCUCAAAGUUCAGACCUCCAGUCUGAUAGCAGGAGCGCCGUGAUGGAGGCAGCCUGAGAUGGCACAAAAGAAUAACCAUAAUAGCGAUGACUUUUUAUGGAGCAAUCAUGAGUUGACAGGCAAUUAAUUGUCUAAGCGCUUCACCUGGAUUUUUUUAUUUAAUCCUCACAACAACCCUCUGCAGCAGGUACCAGUAUUAGCUCCAUUUUACAGACAGAUGAGGAAAUGGAAACCCAGGGAUGUUAAGCAACUUGCCUAAGGCCCUAGGCUAGUAAGAGGCAGCCCCGGGGUGUGCCUGGGUGGGACUCCUGCCACCACCUAACUGCCUCUUCAGGCUUGUCCUGGGGAUGGCAGGGGUCCUGGAUUCAACCCAGUUCUGCCACUCCUCAGGGCAACUCCAUGUGAAGGUGUGUUACCAGUCAUUACUGGUCCUUCUGGCCAGCCAUGCUCCUUCUCCAGUCUCAAUUUCCUCACCAGGAACACUAUGGGAUUGAGAUGAUUUCUCGGAGCUCUUCCAUAUGGUGAUCCUGUGAUUUUUCCUAAUUGUAAAAGUACUCAGAAAGCUCUCCAAUUUUUCUGGACUCAGGGCCAACCUCAGGCAAAGGGAUAAAGUAGGAGGCAAAAUUUAUCUUUGGUGACCCCUAAAUGUCCCACCUGUGUAACUUUUCUCUCUGUUCCAGGAAAAAAAAAACAAAAAACUUCUUGCCAAUGAGUUGAUUCCAAUUCAUGGUGACUCCAUGAGCUUCAGAGUAGAACUGUGCUCCACAGGUUUUCAGUGGCAAUAAUCUUACAGAAGUAGAUGUCUAGAGCUUUCUUCUGUGGUGCCACUGGGUAGAUUUGGACUAACAACCUCCCGAUUAGUAACUGAGAGCAAACCAUUUGUACCACUCAGGGGCCUUUUCCCUCCGUCCAGACCAGGCCGUUGUGCAAUCCCUGCUCCUCCUUUGGGCCCUGGGGCAGAGUCCCUAGGUUGGUGCAAAGCGGGCUUGUCCAUCACCUAAUGACUCAGGGGACACAUCGGAUGGGUGCCAGAGCUCCCUCUUAAAAGAAAGCUGCCUUUUGAAUGUAUCCGCAUUUGUAACUGGGGUGAAUACACUUGUCAGACAUGCUGGUCAAAGGUAACCUCAGCAGCUGCUCCAUCCCAACUGUCUUGGGCAGGAGGGGAAUGCUUUGUUUCAGACACCAGGGGCCAUAUGAUCAUCGACACCAAUAUCGUACUCCCCAGCUGGGAAACCCUGGUGCCUGCCCACUGCCUGCAGAGGAAGUCUUUGUCCCCUGAGUGCGCUCUUACCUUCCCAUCUUGUUUCCUUGGAUUCUGUCUUCUUUGGGAACUCCUGAGGACUUCUGCCAAGAUUGACUGAGCUGGGCAGCACCUUCUGAGUUUACAGUUGAUAGAGGUAUUCAGUGGAUUCUCAGGUGCGGCAGUUUUUCAUUUGACUGUCUUUCUCAUUUAAUAUUGAUUUUACAAUCGAUGGCACAGGUGUAUUUGGCACCAUUUUUUUCUUUCUUGGUGUUAUAUAAAGUAAAGGUGUAUCUUACAACUAAAGGCAUCUUAGAUUUGAUUAAAUACAAUAAAUGGCAUUUUCCAGAUUUGAGUUCUGGAAACUCAGCCAGCCCUGGAAACUUGGGUAGCCAUUCUCUGAGUCCUCUCAAUCCGCCUUGAGUCCUGAUGUAAUGGGGGCCUGUAUUGCCCCCUCGUUGUAACCAGGAGUGAUAUUCAAAAUGCAUAAUGCUCAGACCAAUCAGAACAGAAAAUGGCUGAAAACAAGUGGCAUGUCUAUCCAGGGGCUUACCUGCUCACCCCCAGCCCUGGCUGUAAUACUCCUUACCCAUUGUUUCCCUACACUUCAGCCAUUUGCCCUCCUUCCUUAUUUUAUAGAUUCUUGAGAGUAUGAUCAGGAAACUUGGUCCCUCACCCAAUCCCAGGGGAUGGUCCCUAAUGAGCCUAAACCAAGCAUAGUUAUCCCAGUUUCCUUUGCCAUUAUUGGCUUCAGGGAUGAGCAUAUAUAUUAAAUUGCUGCUGUAACAAAUUGACAGAGCUUUAGCUUAGAACAGCACAAAUCUAUUAUCGUUCUGUAGAAGUCCAGUAUGGGUCUUACUGGGCUAAAGGUCAAGGUGUCAGCAGGGCUAUGUUCCUCUCUGGAACCUCUUGGAGAAAAUUUGUUUCCUUGCUCAUUCAUGUGUUGGAAGAAUCCAGUACCAUGCAGUUGAAGGACUGAGGUCUUCAUUUCUUGGCUGUCUGUCAGCUGGGGGCCUCCAUUAGCCCCUGGUGGCCUCUCUCUGGUCUUUACACACAGCCUGCUACAUCUCAGAACUAGAAAUGAGGCAUCAAAUCCUUCUCCCAUUGCCACCUCCUUCAACCAGCUGGGCUCGUGUGAUUAGAUUGGGUGUACCUGGAUAAGAUAGUUUCCCCAUUUCAGUGUUUAUACCCUUAAUCACAUCACAAAGUCUCUUUUGCCACAUAAAAUAACAUAUUCACAGGUGCCAGGGGAUUAGGGCGUGGACAUCUUUGGAGGCCAUUAUUCUGCCUACCACAGCAUGUGACUCACUUCUGGCCAAUGAGAUGUAAGAGGAAGUUGACUGCGGUUUGGGGGAAAGAUUUUGCUCCCUGAAUAAAAGACAUUAAGGACGCUUGUCCUUUUCCUACCUACUUUGAUUGAGAUGGUGUGAGGACAUGAUGCCCAGAGCUGUUGCAGCUAUCUUAUGACUAUGAGGUAUCAACACCAAGACUGAAAACCAACACACUGAGGAUAGCAGAGUAAAAGAUAGACUUUGACCUUCUGAUGACACUGUGGAGCCACUGAACCAGCCCUAGAACCAUCUAGCUCCAGACUUCUUGUGAGAUAAUUAAAUGUCUUUAUUGCAUAAGGGAAACCCUGGUGGCGUAGUGGUUAAGUGCUAUGGCUGCUAACCAAAAGUUCAGCAGUUCAAAUCCACCAGGCCCUCCUGAAAACUCUACGGGGCAGUUCUACUCUGUCCAGUAGGGUUGCUAUGAGUUGGAAUUGACUUAACGGCAGUGGGUUUGGUUUUGGUUUUAUUGCAUAAGCCACCGUUAAGUCAAAUAGUCUGUUACUUGUAGUUCAACUCAUCCUAGCUAAUAUUCAGCUCCUUCAUUUAUGGGGCCAUUCCAAUAUUGCUUUGAUUCACUACUGACUGUCCUACUAGUGUCUUGGUUCUACUAUAGUACUGAUACCCCUCAUCCCAAACCUCUGCCUGUUUAACUGAGGUCCUGACCUCCUGCCUGGCUUUCGCUGGCCUCCCCUUCAAGGGCUGGGGUGAGGGCCCUAUAACCAAUGAUGCGUCUGCCAGAUUGUACCUCCUGGUUUGUCUGAGUUAUGCCUGAACUUGCUGUGCCCAUAAAACAUGCUCACUUGGACUGCUGGCUACCUUCACAGUGGCUCAGCCUCCCUAGUCCUGCCCCAUCCAAACUUUUUGCUUAGUCCUGCAUUUCACAUCAUACCUACACCCUGUCCAUCUCUAUGCUCUGGUGUGUCUUAACAUCCAGAUAUAUUAGACUGCUGGCCAUUCUCUGAGCAGUUCUUCCACUUUUAUACCCUGUGCCAUUCUUUAUGCUGGUCCUUCAAUCAGAAAUGCCUUUUCUUCAUUCUUACGUCUUUACUAUUAAAUCCUUAUGACACUCUUGUGACGGGGUGCCGUUAGUCCCAUUUUGCAGAUGAGUAAAAAACAUUAGGUGACUUAUUUAGGGUGACACAGCUAAUAAGUGGCAGAGCUGGUAUGCUAAUCAGGCCUCAGACUUCAAAGGCCAUGCCUUUUCACCUCCCUGUUUGGCAUUUUAGAGGAGAUAAUAUCUAAUCCAACUUUUGAUGAAUUUAUCUCCCUCACUAUAAUUACCUUGAGGGCAGGGAGUUUUAUCCUAUUCUUUAUUGACUCCUAGAGUUAACCGUGUAUUGGUAAACAUUUAACAAUUGGCCCCAUCAAGGGGGGUAGGGUGCCGGGAACCUUGGUUUAUAGUGUUUUCCUGAUUCCAAGGCUGAUUUCAAGCAACCAACAUGAGAUCCCUGAAGGAAGAGUUGGGAAGAGAUGAACAGUAACAUACCAUUAUCAAAUACUUCCGCCAUAUAGAUUGAAUAGGCAUGAAUAACCUCAAGAACACAGAUAAUAGUAAAUUGUGAAAUAAUGUUGUUGAUGUUGUCUGGUACCAUCAAGUCAAUUCUGACUCACAGCGACCCCAUGUGCAGAGUAGAACUGCCCCGUAGGGGUUCCCAGACUGUAGUCUUUAUGGGAACAGAUCUCAGGUCCUUCUCCUGCGAUGCCGCUGGGUGAGUUCAAUCUGCCAACCUUUUGGUUAGCAGCCAAGCACUUAACCACUGUGCCACCAGGGCUCCUUAGUGAAAUAAUUAGGAAGUGAUAAGUUUUGAGAUUUUAUUACUUUUGUGUUUAAUCUAAUUUAUUUAAUUUUAAUUUAGUAUAAGUUAAUCUGUAGUAAUUGCUGUGUUUAACAACCGGCUUAAAAAUUUCCUGAAAAUUUAAGUUAGCCGUGUAAACUGGUUUGAACUGGUUCCAGCACAGCACUGCUAGAGUCUAGCGUAAUGCUUUGCUUUUAAUAGCCGCUGGAAUGGCAGCAAGGAUGCUAAUGAAGAGAACAUGAAUAUCCACUAAUGGACUUUGACCAUAAGCCAGACUUCAGUAUUGUUCCCUGAAUCUGAGAAUUUCUUAGUUCUGUCCCUCAUACUGGAAACCCUGGUGGUGUAGUGGGUAAGAGCCAUGGCUACUAACCAAAAAGUCAACAAUUCGAAUCCACCAGGGCUACUUGGAAACCCACAGGAGCAGUUCUAAUCUGUGCUAUAGGUUCACUAUGAGUAUGAGUCGGAAUUGACUGGAUGGCAAAGGGCUUUUAUCCCUCGUACUUACAGAAGGCCAAACAAAUAAAAAAUAGCUGAGGGUGGAGACCAAAGAAUAGCCGAAGCCCCAACCAAGGGCUGUGAAUAGUGAACUCUGCCCAGGGUCAGGGUGGGGCCCUAGGACAGCUUCCAGUUCAAAACCAGCUUCUGCAAUUGGACUUGAGCAAGCCUCUGAGCUAUAACUGCCCUCUCUUCUCUCUUCUCCCUUACCACGCCCAUGACCAGGGAAGUACUGAAAAAAAAAAAAAAGCACCAGUCAUAUCAUUAUUCUAUUACAUUCCAGAACGGACAGCCUUCUAGCAAUUAGGAAGUCUGGAAAGAAGUAAAAACGAAAUGGCAGCUGUCCCCAAAAGUCUCCCACUUCAGCUAUCUUAACCUUUUGUAGUGGGUGCAGUGCUGAUCUCAAUGGAAACCGGAGUGGGCAGGCCCAGCUUAGGGAGAGAGAAGAACAGCUGGUGAAUCAGCUGUGUUGUAUUACAGUCGGCACUAUCCCUGUGGUGGUUCAGGAAUUGUACCAUAUAUGGACUCAGGCACAAGACAGGCAUUCCAGCUGAUUUGCAUCAGGGCUCCCCUAAAGUUACAUCUUGGGAUUCGGCAAAAGGGAGACCCCAGAAAGGCUGGUGAGCAUGGAGAAAUCAGGGCCAACUGAUUUCUGGCAGGAAAAAGGAAAAGGAGGGUGUAGUGUCUUUUCAGCCAAGCUGGGCUUGGGAAUGAAGGGUGGGUGCCUGAGAAAGCCGUGGGAGUGGUUCUCAGCAGCGGUUGCAGUGGGAGGGAUAGAUAGAGGACCAGCCCAGACUCCAUCCAGCCUCUCACUGGCCAUAGGCUGCAGGAGCCUUGAGGCCAACUCAGACAAGUAUAACAGAGGUCAAGGGGAAUAACUGUGAUUUCAGACCUGAGAGGUAGCCUCCUUGGCCAUGGGAGAAGGUGGCUAAGAUGCUGCUCGAGAUAUAGGAAUCCUAUUGGUCAAGUGGGGGACAGUCCAGGCUCUGAGUUAUUCCAAGGUCAAGUGGGUUCACCCAGGUAGAACACAGCUAGUUAACCUCUUGCCCCCUCCAUUGGUCUGGACCAACAUGACACAGCUGGGGCUGUGGAAAUCCAGGGAAAAGGGAAAGUGAGGUGAGGCAGUAAUCUGCGAAAGUGACUCUUAAUAAAUGGCUAAUAAAUUGGACCCAAUUUGUAAGUAUUAACCAGCUUUUCCAGCAAUUUAGUUGCUUUAACUUUUCAUUUUUUAUAAAGGACCAACUUGAAUUGUUUCAGGGCACUAUGUGUGUACUACUUUAUUUAGUCCAAAAGACUAGAACUAGGAACUACCCAAUCCAAUGAGAAUAAACAAGUCUAUAAGCAAAACACAGACAAAUCUCACAAACAUAGUGUGGAGUGAAAGAAGCCAGACGCAAACAAAUACUGUGAAAUUCCUUUGAUAUCAAGCUCAAAAACAGGCAAAACCAAUCUGUGGUGUUAGUAGUCAGGAUAGUGGUUCCUUUGUUGGGGUUAGUGACUGGGAGGACCUGGGAGGACUUCAGGGGUGCUGGUAAAGUACUCUUUGUCUUGGUGCUGCUUGUAAUCUUGUAAAAUAAAUGGUCACAGGAAAAGUAACUGUGUGUCAACCAAAAUUAAGCAGCCGAGGGAGGGUCAGUGUGGCAGAAGGGUACUACCACAGGGCUAGGGGUCAGAAAACCUGAUUUCUAGUCGUGCUUCUGUUAUCCAUCAGUGGAAGGAUCUUGGAAACUUUGCUCCCGUUUCUCGCUUCCUCAGCUACAGAACAAAACGGUUGGAUUAGAUUAAAUGAUCUGUCAGAGAAGAUUAUUCUUUGGCAGAGACAUGUAUCUAAUGUAUAACAGGUAUGGCUCAUACCCUGGGCGCUGCUUGAACGGGGUGCCACUGAGCAGCAUCUAUUAAUCAGCAAAGUUUCCCUUGCCAGCUGUGAGAGAUCGUUGAGCAGUUAAAACUAAUACUUUCAUAUUUGAGAGCUCCCAUGGAUCAAGGCAGACUAUGUGAUCUUGCUCUGCUGAGUAUAGAAAGAGAAGAAACUGAAAAAAAAAAAAAAAAAAGACUUUGAGCGUACCAUAGACCAAUUUUCAUCAGUGAAAGCAAAGAAGGUACAGUUGUAAUUUUCAUGUAGUGCCAUCAUGUGUUAAGUAAAAGGUCAAGGAGUUUGACUUGUAUUUUUGAGCUGAUAAUAUGACAAAAUUAUCUAAAAGAUGAGUGUCAGAUGUUUGGACAGGGGCGCAAUUUCAGUGCUUGCCUAUUUUCAGUAGAUACACCUCUAUAAUCUUUCCUACCUGCUUCAGCAGAGAUGGGAUAUAAUUUAACAGCCAUUCUGCCUCUCACAUGAUCUUCUCAUGGAGGAAAGCUCUCCAGGUUUGGUGAACUCACGGAACAGUUUUCACACUGUCAGAACACAUACACAGGCAGUAUACACAUGAACGCACAUCUAGAGUCUUCAGCCCUUCUCAGCAUCCUCCUAUUAUCAGCCUUGAAUUUCACCUUCAUCUUCUUCUUCUUCACCCUCACUUCUGCCUUCCUUGAUCUUAGUGAUUAAAAGGCUUCAGGAAAACCAAAGUAGUCCCCCAACCCCAUCCCUGAAAGAAAACGUUAAGGAUCCCAGUUGAAGACCAAGCACCAAGAGACUUGCAUAAGUAGUAAUAGUCUCUUAUAUUUGUUUAAUAUUUCUCCAUUCCCAAAGCACUUCCAUAGCCAUAGACCAUUUGAUUCGUUACAGUAAGAAAGGUAAGAGAGCAGCCUCUGGGCUGGACUGCCUAGGUUGGACUUUCAGCCUCAUCUGUUACUUGCUGCUUGACCUUGGCCAUAGUUUCCUCAUCUGUAAAAUGGGGAAGUGGUGAAGAUUAAAUGAGUUAACACACCAAGUCCUUACAACUGUGCCUAGCAUUUGAUAAAUGUUAGCUGCAACAAAAACUAAAAGCCAAAUUGUGUUAUCUACAUUUUACAGAUGAAGAAAAUGAGGCCAUGAGAAGUUAAUAGUCCCAAGGCUAAUUCAUGGCAGACCCAGAACUGGACCACAGGUCUUCUGGGUUGCAACACUACUUGUUAUGUUACCUGGGAUGACUUGCUGUUCAUUUUUACAUAAUAAUAACUGUGAAACACUGUGCUAAAUGCUUUACAUAUAGCAUAUAAUUUAAUCCUCAUAAUAACCUAUGAGGCAGGUAUUAACACCCAUCUUAGAGAGGGGCACAUUGAGGCUGAAAAUUUCAGAAAACAAAACUGGAUCACCCAGCUACUAACGGGGGAGCCAAAACUUGAAUGCAGGUCUCUGCAACCCCAGGGCCUGAGUUUUCAAUCACUUAUGUUCUAUAACCUUUGGAAAGAAAAAGAACCACCACAGCUGCUUGCUUUAUAAAAAACUGUGGAUUGCUGGAAUGAACUGGGUGAUAUUUGUAAAUUCCUCAAGGUCAGUCAGAGGCCCUUCUAAUCUAUCCUUCAUCCUUCCCCCUGUUGCCUCAGGCACUGGAUCCCCAUAGGUGUCUCAUAUGCUCCCGUGGAGAGAUUUGCAAAAUUUGCAAAGCAGUCUCUGAGAGUUCAAGCAACCAGGCCGAGAAAUGAAGAAGCCCAGUUGAACACUUGAUAGCCAAGCCAGGGCUGAGUGCCAGUAGCCCUGUCUGAUGCUACUGAAGACAUAGAGGCAGACCAAAUGCCAGAACCCAGAGGGAACCAUGGUGCUCGGGCACAAAGGCUUUGCAACACCUAUCAAGUUUGUAGAAAGAAAACAAAAGAAGGGUGAGAAUGGCACUUCACAUGGGAGAAGCUAGUCUUACAAGGGGGAGUGCUAGUCUUCCCAGAUGGCAUCAGAUGGCACCUGGGAACACCUUCCUGGCUUAAGAUUUCAAGAGAAGGCCUAAUGGAAACAGCACUUUGGCUGACUUUACCCCUGGCAGAUCCGACAGUGACAUGUGUUCUGACGCACUCACAUGGUUGUGGCUGGCAGUGCAGACAGGCUGGACUGUUCUGGCUUCUGUCAUUUCUUUUUCAGCC